rnacentral:rRNA from 1 species
ACUUAAAUUGAAGAGUUUGAUCAUGGCUCAGAUUGAACGCUGGCGGCAGGCCUAACACAUGCAAGUCGAGCGGUAGCACAGAGAGCUUGCUCUCGGGUGACGAGCGGCGGACGGGUGAGUAAUGUCUGGGAAACUGCCUGAUGGAGGGGGAUAACUACUGGAAACGGUAGCUAAUACCGCAUAAUGUCGCAAGACCAAAGUGGGGGACCUUCGGGCCUCAUGCCAUCAGAUGUGCCCAGAUGGGAUUAGCUAGUAGG